rnacentral:rRNA from 1 species
GGAUAAACGCUGAAAGCAUCUAAGUGUGAAGCCCACCUCAAGAUGAGAUUUCCCAUUUCUUUAAGAAAGUAAGAUCCCUGAGAGAUGAUCAGGUAGAUAGGUCAGGAGUGGAAGUACAGUGAUGUAUGGAGCGGACUGAUACUAAUCGAUCGAGGACUUAACCAA